rnacentral:lncRNA from 1 species
CUCCCUCACUGUCUGAAGUUAUUUCUGUUGGUUUUUGUUCUUUAUUUUUUCCGGAACUUUGUCCUAUUUCUAAAUUCUGUGUUAAUUUUUGAUUUUGUUCUAAAUAGUCGCAUCUUAAUUUUAAUUGUCUUACUUCUGAUUUUAAUUGUCUUAUUUCUGAUUGUAAAUCCAUAGAAGAAAUUGUGGUUACUGAUUUUUUGUUUUUAAACAUUUGUUCAAUAUCUUCAAACUUUGUUGGAGGUUCAGUUUCUUGUUUUAUUUCUUCAUUGAUUAAUUUGGUUAAUUUUUUAAACAUUUUACGUUUUAUAUUAGAAUCUUGUACUUGUUCUAUUUGUUCUAAUACUUGAUUGUAUUCUGUUAAGACAUUUAUUUUAUUGUUGCA